rnacentral:rRNA from 1 species
AUAAUAUAAACGGCGUAAAACACGACCAAAUACUAGUCUAACCACUAGGGUUGAAACCAACCUAGGCUGUAAAAAGCUAUAAGCCACAAUAAGCCCCUAAUGACAAACAACUUCCACUCGUGAAAGCUGGGACACAAACUAAGAUUAGAUACCUUACUAUGCCCAGCCGUAACAUAACAAUUAAAUUACCAAUUGUUCGCCAAAUAACUACGAGUAAAGACUUAAAAUUUAAAAGACUUGACGGUACCUCAUAACAACCUAGAGGAGCCUGUCAAAUAACCGAUAAUCCACGAUUAACCCAACCUUCCCUAGCCCAACAGUCUAUAUACCGCCGUCGCCAGCCUACCUUGUGAAAGAGACAAAGUAAGCCCAAUAGCCAUCACACUAACACGACAGGUCGAGGUGUAACUCAUGAGAAGGACCACGAUGGGCUACAUUUUCUAAAACAGAAAAUACGAAUUAACUAUGAAACAAGAAACUGAAGGCGGAUUUAGCAGUAAACUAAGAGCAAAAUACCUAGUCGAAACUAAUGCAAUGAGGUGCGUACACACCGCCCGUCAUCCCUGUCAACAUACAACAAAAAUCUAUAAA